rnacentral:rRNA from 1 species
AUUCCCCUAGUAACUGCGAGUGAAGCGGGAAAAGCUCAAAUUUAAAAUCUGGUGGCUUUGGUCAUCCGAGUUGUAAUUUAGAGAAGCGUCUUCCGCGCUGGACCGUGCACAAGUCUCCUGGAAUGGAGCGUCAUAGAGGGUGAGAAUCCCGUCUUUGGCACGGACGCACCAGGGCUUCUGUGAUGCGCUCUCGAAGAGUCGAGUUGUUUGGGAAUGCAGCUCAAAAUGGGUGGUGAACUCCAUCUAAAGCUAAAUAUUGGCGAGAGACCGAUAGCGAACAAGUACCGUGAGGGAAAGAUGAAAAGCACUUUGGAAAGAGAGUGAAACAGUACGUGAAAUUGUUGAAAGGGAAACGCUUGAAGUCAGUCGCGUCGACCGAGACUCAGCCUUGCCUUGGCUUGGUGUACUUCUCGGCUGACGGGUCAGCAUCAAUUUUGCCCCUCGGAUAAUGGUGAGGGAAAUGUGGCACCUUUGCGGGUGUGUUAUAGUCCUUUGUCGCAUGCGAGGGUUGGGAUUGAGGAACUCAGCACGCGCCUUUUGGCGUCGGGGCUCUGCCCACGAUACGUGCUUAGGAUGUUGGCGUAAUGGCUUUAAACGACCCGUCUUGAAACACGGACCAAGGAGUCCAACAUGCCCGCGAGUGUUCGGGUGGAAAACCCGUGCGCGCAAUGAAAGUGAAAGUUGGGACCUCUGUCGUGGAGGGCACCGACGCCCGGACCAGACCUUCUGUGACGGAUCUGCGGUGGAGCGUGUAUGUUGGGACCCGAAAGAUGGUGAACUAUGCCUGAAUAGGGUGAAGCCAGAGGAAACUCUGGUGGAGGCUCGUAGCGAUUCUGACGUGCAAAUCGAUCGUCAAAUUUGGGUAUAGGGGCG